AUGAUUAGGAAGUAUAAGAGCAAAAAAUUCGAAAUAGCACUUCAUAUAAGAAUCCCCGAUGCAGAUCCAGGUGAUUCAAAUGUAACAUUUUUACAAGGUUGUCUUCAGUAAUAAGCCAUUCAGCUCAAAAAGCUUCCAAUACAAACAUAAAAUGGAAAGACUGCUCUAAUUUUUUGCUCUUAUACUUCCUAAUCAUAAGGGAUUUGGAUGUAUGCUGCAUCACAGGCAAAAGGGACAUCAGCAUACAUACCAGCAAGAGCACACCGUAUGCACUCCAAGACUGUAAAAAGAUACGCAAAUGCAAUGGCUGUCCAAAAAUGCAUACCUACUUUACC
rnacentral:misc_RNA from 1 species